ACUGUGGUUGAUGAUGCUCAAACUUUUUUCCCCAUCUUAACGACCAUGGUGAUGCAUCGCUGAAAAUUAAGCCAACUCUGUCUGAAACCACAAC